CACUCCUGCGGGAGGCAGCAGUGGGGAAUAUUGGACAAUGGGGGCAACCCUGAUCCAGCCAUGCCGCGUGAGUGAUGAAGGCCCUAGGGUUGUAAAGCUCUUUUGUGCGGGAAGAUAAUGACGGUACCGCAAGAAUAAGCCCCGGCUAACUUCGUGCCAGCAGCCGCGGUAAUACGAAGGGGGCUAGCGUUGCUCGGAAUCACUGGGCGUAAAGGGUGCGUAGGCGGGUCUUUAAGUCAGGGGUGAAAUCCUGGAGCUCAACUCCAGAACUGCCUUUGAUACUGAGGAUCUUGAGUCCGGAAGAGGUGAGUGGAACUGCGAGUGUAGAGGUGAAAUUCGUAGAUAUUCGCAAGAACACCAGUGGCGAAGGCGGCUCACUGGUCCGGUACUGACGCUGAGGCACGAAAGCGUGGGGAGCAAACAGGAUUAGAAACCCUGGUAGUCCCAUGAU
rnacentral:rRNA from 1 species